CUGGCGGCGUGCCUAAUACAUGCAAGUCGAACGGCUUUUCUAUGGAAGCUUGCUUCCACUGAGAAGAUAGUGGCGAACGGGUGAGUAACAACGUGGGUAACCUGCCCAUAAGAGGGGGAUAACAUCCGGAAACGGGUGCUAAUACCGCAUAGUUUUCUUGAUCGCAUGAUCGGGAAAGGAAAGACGGCCUUUGUGCUGUCGCUUAUGGAUGGACCCGCGGCGUAUUAGUUAGUUGGUGAGGUAACGGCUCACCAAGACGAUGAUACGUAGCCGACCUGAGAGGGUGAUCGGCCACAUUGGGACUGAGACACGGCCCAAACUCCUACGGGGGGCGGCAGUAGGGAAUCUUCCGCAAUGGACGAAAGUCUGACGGAGCAACGCCGCGUGAGUGAAAGAAGGUUUUCGGAUCGUAAAACUCUGUUGUCAGAGAAGAACAAGUUGGAGAGUAACUGCUCCAGCCUUGACGGUAUCUGACCAGAAAGCCACGGCUAACUACGUGCCAGCCGCCGC
rnacentral:rRNA from 1 species